UACGUAGGGACCAAGCGUUGUUCGGAUUUACUGGGCGUAAAGAGCUCGUAGGCGGCCUGUUGCGUCUGCUGUGAAAUCCCGGGGCUUAACCCCGGGCGUGCAGUGGAUACGGGCAGGCUGGAGGCAGGCAGGGGAGAAUGGAAUUCCCGGUGUAGCGGUGAAAUGCGCAGAUAUCGGGAGGAACACCGGUGGCGAAGGCGGUUCUCUGGGCCUGUUCUGACGCUGAGGAGCGAAAGCGUGGGGAGCGAACAGG
rnacentral:rRNA from 1 species